UUUGAAUUUAAUAUUGGGGAUUAUGUUAUAUUGCAAGCGUGUAAUGCUGAUUUUUUUAAAAUUUCAAAGCAUGUUGGUCAAAAUGCCUAUGUCAAUGACCUUUUAUCACAUUAUGAUCACCACCCUAUUUUAUUUGUUACGGACUUCGAUGCUUACAACGGUUAUUUUAGCCCCUCUGAUGACCCGUUUCUACUCCCACAUGAGAAUUCCCACACUGAAUCUUUUGUCAUGUCUGCUUCAAUCCCACCUAUCACAGCACACAAAAAUAAAAUUGAUGUUAUUUUGGAUGAACAGCUUGUGUUGACCAAUAAUAGAGAGAUUCAAUGCUUUCUUGUUCGUUAGAUGGAUCGACUUGAUUCUGACGGUACAUGGAUUCCCAAAGAGAGACUUCAGCGGCGUGAGCCAAAUUUAUUGGAGCUUUAUAAGAGUCAGCAAAAUUCUCACUCGCCUAAGUUAUCUUGGUCAGCUCAUGUUUUUGUGGGUAAUUUGCAAUUGGCAUCGUCAUCAUUUGUGGAAUUUCGAUAUUUGGUUCGUCAGAAAGAUUGUCCCCCAUGACAUGACUUGGAGCCUUUAGCAUCAGAUUUAUUGCAACAUUUUGAUUUAUCCACUCGACGGGGUCGAGUUUUUCUCCCACUCCGGGAGAGUUGAUGCGGACAUCCAUUUACUAUUUAUUUUCUUCCAUUUACUAUUUAUUUUCUUUCUGGACUAUUAGUUAUAUUCUAUUUGGAUUAUUAUUUAUAUUUCUGUUAUUGGGCUUGUUUAGUGGGUUUGGCUCAAGCUCUUCUCUUUAGGGUUUGUGUUCUGCUAUUUAUUUCUGUUUUGUUUAUCAUUUGAGACAGUUGAUGAAUUGAUGAAUUAAAGAAUAGAAUACUUGGGUUGUUGCAUAUGGCUUCCUCCUUCUCCUCUUUUCCUUGAUUUCUACUUCUUCUCUGGUUUUCUCCCCCCUUUCUCUCCGGCCCUUUCCCCCUUCUUGCUGCCUUCUUCUUCUUCUCGCUGGAAUUCUACUUGCUAGUUGUGCUAUUUUGCUAUUUCUAAUUAUUCUGCAGGAAUCAUCCCUCAUCCUGCAUCAAAGUGGAAUUUUGUAAGUCUAUUUUUUCUGGUAUCUAAUGGAUAUUAUAGAUCGAAACCUAUUGGUUCAUUGUUUUGUUGAACUGCUCUUAACUUCUCUCCUUUUCAAUUCUUA
rnacentral:lncRNA from 1 species